rnacentral:rRNA from 1 species
UACGGGGGGGGUAAGCGUUGUUCGGAAUUACUGGGCGUAAAGGGCUCGUAGGCGGCCAACUAAGUCAGACGUGAAAUCCCUCAGCUUAACUGGGGAACUGCGUCUGAUACUGGAUGGCUUGGAUUCGGGAGAGGAAUGCGGAAUUCCUGGUGUAGCGGUGAAAUGCGCAGAUAUCAGGAAGAACACCCGUGGCGAAGGCGGCUCUCUGGGACGGUACUGACGCUGAGACGCGAAAGCGUGGGGAGCGAACAGG